GAUGAACGCUGGCGGCGUGCCUAACACAUGCAAGUCGAGCGGAGAAUUGUUGCUUGCAACAAUUCUUAGCGGCGGACGGGUGAGUAACACGUGGGUAACCUGCCCUAAACAAAGGGAUAACAAUGAGAAAUCAUUGCUAAUACCGUAUAAGCUUACACUAUCGCAUGAUAGAGUAAGAAAAGAUUUAUCGGUUUAGGAGGGGCCCGCGUCUGAUUAGCUAGUUGGAGAGGUAACGGCUCACCAAGGCGACGAUCAGUAGCCGACCUGAGAGGGUGAUCGGCCACAUUGGGACUGAGACACGGCCCAAACUCCUACGGGAGGCAGCAGUGGGGAAUAUUGCACAAUGGAGGAAACUCUGAUGCAGCAACGCCGCGUGAAGGAAGAAGGUUUUCGGAUCGUAAACUUCUAUCUACAGGGAAGAAAAAAAUGACGGUACCUGAGUAAGAAGCCUCGGCUAACUACGUG
rnacentral:rRNA from 1 species